UUGUGACUAUGCGGGAGAAUUUAUAUGUACUUCUGUGUGAUGAAAAAUUGGAUGCAGUCUCUUUGGAAGCUGUGCACCAACAAAAGAUGAAGAAUAGACAAGCCCACUCUUCAUCAGUAAGAACAAGAAUUAGGAUGGUUUGAGCCUUCGACUUUGGAAAACAGCAUUGCUCUCAUGCUUUUGAAUGCAUUUACAAACUUUAAGAGUCCUCACCACAGUUACUGCUAACAACGAAUAGGCUACUUCUGACUUCAGCAUAGAUUCCUGAAGGUUGUAGAGUGGUCAAGAGAGGGGCCCAAACUGUGACAAAGAAUGUCAUAAGUGCAGCUAAGUGAUUUGCAUUUUAUGCAGUGAAACCAGGUGUGCGAAACAACUAGUACAUCAGAAAAUUCAGCAAUCCAGAAUUCCGGUUUUUCAGAAAAGGGCAAGAGCAGGGCCA
rnacentral:lncRNA from 1 species